rnacentral:rRNA from 1 species
UACGGAGGGGGCAAGCGUUGUUCGGAAUUACUGGGCGUAAAGGGCUCGUAGGCGGCCAUUUAAGUCAGACGUGAAAUCCCCCGGCUUAACCAGGGAACUGCGUCUGAUACUGGAUGGCUUGAGUUUGGGAGAGGGAUGCGGAAUUCCAGGUGUAGCGGUGAAAUGCGUAGAUAUCUGGAGGAACCCCGGUGGCGAAGGCGACAUCCGGGACCAACACUGACGCUGAGUGAGCGAAAGCCAGGGGAGCAAACGGG